GGGAAUAUUGGACAAUGGGCGAAAGCCUGAUCCAGCAAUGCCGCGUGAGUGAUGAAGGCCUUAGGGUUGUAAAGCUCUUUUACCCGGGAUGAUAAUGACAGUACCGGGAGAAUAAGCUCCGGCUAACUCCGUGCCAGCAGCCGCGGUAAUACGGAGGGAGCUAGCGUUGUUCGGAAUUACUGGGCGUAAAGCGCACGUAGGCGGCUUUGUAAGUUAGAGGUGAAAGCCUGGAGCUCAACUCCAGAAUUGCCUUUAAGACUGCAUCGCUUGAAUCCAGGAGAGGUGAGUGGAAUUCCGAGUGUAGAGGUGAAAUUCGUAGAUAUUCGGAAGAACACCAGUGGCGAAGGCGGCUCACUGGCCCGGUACUGACGCUGAGAUGCGAAAGCGUGGGGAGCAAAC
rnacentral:rRNA from 1 species